UCUUCUUCUUCAUCCUCCUCCCAUUUCCUUCAUUCCUUAUCUUCAAAACACUCAUUUUGAUCCCCAAAAACAAAGGAAGAAGUGGAGAUUUCAUCUCCUUCCAUCAAGAAGAGUUCGAUUAGGGUUUAGAGAGGAAUCGGAGGAGAAGCUUCAAGCAAAGGAAAAGAGAUUAUAGACAAGUAACCUUGGAGGGUGUUAGCUCGCCAAGUUUGUGACAGCACAGCAGCGGGAUAGAAGCGUGAAGUGCUUGGCAGAGUAGUUGUAUUUUCUUAAGCUGUGUAUGAAGCUUAUAUAUUUUGGCAUGUA